ACUUCUUGAUACUCCGAUUAACGGGUAGGAUCAGAAGGCUCUUGAAGGUCUCAAAGGCUCUCCUACUCAACUCAAUUCUGUAACGUUCUCGGCGUGCAGAGAGGCAACUUGUACCACCGUAUAAACAAGCAUGGGUACACACCGGCUAGCUCCAACCCCUUAGGCGGUUGGUGGUGCAAGGCAAAACAGGAGCAG
rnacentral:ribozyme from 1 species